GGAUCUUUGGAGUCUACCAUCUUCUUGGUUUGGUGGCUUUCUGAAUAAAGCCGCUAUUCCUUGUCCUAGCAACUCCUCUCUCCAUUUGUUGGCCUGCCUUGCCUUGCCACUCAUGGCGAGCUGGCAGUUGGGGAUUUUGGGGGUAAGGCCCUAGCAGCUGGCAAGACCACUUGUCCUGAGGCUCUUCCUGCAAAACUCCCCAAAGCCGCACUGGUUGUUCCAGCGCUGGGUAGUUGGAGCAAGGAAUCAAUAUUUGGGAGCAGACAGGCUCCAAACAGUAAGAAAUGGGCUCAGGGAAGUAAUCUGCCAGCCAAGAUGAUGAAGCCGGGAGCAGCCGUGCUGCGGAGCUGAGUCGGUGCCCUGCGGAGCACAGAGACAGCAGCCGGGGGCAAAAUAAACAAAAAGCUCCAGUGAAUCAAGUCAAGGGAUCAAAAGGCAACUCAUCAGCACAGAGCCCUUUGCCCUGAGCGGUUCUGAGCGAGCUGGCCCCGCAGUGCAUCUUGGAGCGCAGAGCAGACUCAUGUUUCCAAUGGUUGCUGGAGGCAGCUCCGCCCAGAAGAGUCGAGAAAACUCAAACAUGGAACAGCUUUGAAAACUAAGCCUGAGAUUUUCUUUUCACAAGGAUGUAAAAAAAUAGUUAUGAAUACCAUUAAUUUAGUCAGUGACAGACUUCUAUCAGCGCCUCCAGCUAUGUUUUGGGCAGCAGUGCUGGUGCUGAAGAAACAGAGUUGCAUUAAUGAUAUCUGGCAAACUUUCCUUACUUGGGGUUUGGUCUGACCCAGUUUUUCCCCAGCUGGAAACUUGAGAAUCUUGCUGCUUCCACUUUAGGAUUUCCAUGGUCAGUACCCUGGGAAACUGGUCUCAAUGUGCUGUAAAGAUAAUUUAAGCCACAAUCUUGCCUUGUUAUUGUUUAGUCGCUGAGUCGUGUCUGACUCUUUGCGACCCCAAUGGACUGUAACCUGCCAGGCUCCUCU